GCGGAUUGCUCAGUCGGUUAGAGUGUGACGCCGAUAACGCCAAGGUUGCAGGUUUGGUCCCUGUAUGGGACAGCUGCA